rnacentral:rRNA from 1 species
GGAACAGAAUGUCAAAGAGGGUGAGAGUCCCGUCUGAGCCGAUUACUUCGUCCAUGUGAAACUCCUUCGACGAGUCGAGUUGUUUGGGAAUGCAGCUCAAAAUGGGUGGUAAAUUUCAUCUAAAGCUAAAUAUUGGCCAGAGACCGAUAGCGCACAAGUAGAGUGAUCGAAAGAUGAAAAGCACUUUGAAAAGAGAGUUAAACAGUAUGUGAAAUUGUUGAAAGGGAAGCGCUUGCAAUCAGACUUGAGCUUAACAGUUCCCCCUUCGUUCUCGUUGGGUUAUUCUGUUUUGUCCAGGCCAACAUCAGUUCGAGUGGUUGGUUAAAGAUUUUAGGAAUGUAUCUACUCUUCGGGGUCGACUUAUAGCCUAGAAUGUCAUGCAGCCUACUUGGACUGAGGAACGCGCUUCGGCUCGGAUGUUGGCGUAAUGGUUGUGAGCGGCCCGUCUUGAAACACGGACCAAGGAGUCUAACAUCUAUGCGAGUCUUUGAGUGUUAAACUCACAGGCGUAAUGAAAGUGAACGGAGGUAAGAAGCCUUAAGGCUGCAUUAUCGACCGAUCCUGAUGUCUUCGGAUGGAUUUGAGUAAGAGCAUAGCUGUGGGGACCCGAAAGAUGGUGAACUAUGCCUGAAUAGGGUGAAGCCAGAGGAAACUCUGGUGGAGGCUCGCAGCGGUUCUGACGUGCAAAUCGAUCGUCAAAUUUGGGUAUAGGGGCGAAAGACUAAUCGAACCAUCUAAACCAACCUACUGGAUGGUCAAAAAUAGUCCGGUUGACCAGCUUAACUCAAUUGGUUUAACCGUGGCUACGUUAAUACUGUGCAGGGAGGUCUUUUGACUAAUCUGCAGCCCACCGGGGUUCACAGACUAGAUAUUAGCGGUCGGUAAUACACCGAUAUGAGAUAUAGCCGUUUAGGCCUUGUGUUUAGGCUUUAGUUAAAGGGUAGCUGGUUCCUGUCGAAGUUUCCCUCAGGAUAGCAGUAACGUUUUCAGUUUUAUGAGGUAAAGCGAAUGAUUAGAGGCCUUGGGGGCGUGUUUCGCCCUCGAUAUCGAGUCCAUAGUGGCGAGGCCUGUGAUCUGUGGGGAUGUUUAGUUAAAGCUCUUAACUAAACUGCCCACACCCAUUUCGAUGGGUUACAGAUCAAGCAUAGGUCGGUAGAUUUCAUGKCUACUCCUGAUAUGAUCGGACUUUGACUGKUAGUUAAAGAGAUUUGGAAAUGCUCUUAACCUAUUCUCAAACUUUAAAUAUGUAAGAAGUCCUUGUUACUUAAUUGAACGUGGACAUUUGAAUGUACCGUUACUAGUGGGCCAUUUUUGGUAAGCAGAACUGGCGAUGCGGGAUGAACCGAACGUGAGGUUAAGGUGCCGGAAUACACGCUCAUCAGACACCACAAAAGGUGUCAAUGCAUCUAGACAGCCGGACGGUGGCCAUGGAAGUCGGAAUCCGCUUAGGAGUGUGUAACAACUCACCGGCCGAAUGCAUUGGCCCUGAAAAUGGAUGGCGCUUAAGCGUGUUACCUAUACCUCGCCAUUAGAGUUGAAAUUAUGCUCUAAUGAGUAGGC